GAGGAUAUAGCUCAGUGGUAGAGCACAUGCUUAGCAUGCACCAGGUCCUGGGUUCAAUCCCCAGUACCUCCA
rnacentral:tRNA from 1 species